UACAGAGGGUGCGAGCGUUAAUCGGAAUUACUGGGCGUAAAGGGCGCGUAGGCGGCUAGAUAAGUUAUGUGUGAAAUUUCCGGGCUUAACCUGGGAACUGCCCAUAAUACUGUGUAGCUAGAGUAGAGUAGAGGAAAGUGGAAUUUCCGGUGUAGCGGUGAAAUGCGUAGAUAUCGGAAGGAACACCAGUGGCGAAGGCGGCUUUCUGGACUCAUACUGACGCUGAGGCGCGAAAGCGUGGGGAGCAAACAGG
rnacentral:rRNA from 1 species